rnacentral:rRNA from 1 species
ACACGUGAGUAACCUGCCCUUAACUCUGGGAUAAGCCUUGGAAACGGGGUCUAAUACUGGAUAUUGACUUUAUGUCGCAUGGGGUAUUGUUGAAAGAUUUAUUGGUUUUGGAUGGACUCGCGGCCUAUCAGCUUGUUGGUGAGGUAAUGGCUCACCAAGGCGACGACGGGUAGCCGGCCUGAGAGGGUGACCGGCCACACUGGGACUGAGACACGGCCCAGACUCCUACGGGAGGCAGCAGUGGGGAAUAUUGCACAAUGGGCGAAAGCCUGAUGCAGCGACGCCGCGUGAGGGAUGACGGCCUUCGGGUUGUAAACCUCUUUCAGUAGGGAACAAGGCCAGGCAUUGUCUGGUUGAGGGUACUUGCAGAAGAAGCGCCGGCUAACUACGUGCCAGCAGCCGCGGUAAUACGUAGGGCGCAAGCGUUAUCCGGAAUUAUUGGGCGUAAAGAGCUCGUAGGCGGUUUGUCGCGUCUGCCGUGAAAGUCCGGGGCUCAACCCCGGAUCUGCGGUGGGUACGGGCAGACUAGAGUGAUGUAGGGGAGACUGGAAUUCCUGGUGUAGCGGUGAAAUGCGCAGAUAUCAGGAGGAACACCGAUGGCGAAGGCAGGUCUCUGGGCAUUAACUGACGCUGAGGAGCGAAAGCAUGGGGAGCGAACAGGAUUAGAUACCCUGGUAGUCCAUGCCGUAAACGUUGGGCACUAGGUGUGGGGGACAUUCCACGUUUUCCGCGCCGUAGCUAACGCAUUAAGUGCCCCGCCUGGGGAGUACGGCCGCAAGGCUAAAACUCAAAGGAAUUGACGGGGGCCCGCACAAGCGGCGGAGCAUGCGGAUUAAUUCGAUGCAACGCGAAGAACCUUACCAAGGCUUGACAUGAACUGGAAAUACCUGGAAACAGGUGCCCCGCUUGCGGUCGGUUUACAGGUGGUGCAUGGUUGUCGUCAGCUCGUGUCGUGAGAUGUUGGGUUAAGUCCCGCAACGAGCGCAACCCUUCGUUCUAUGUUGCCAGCACGUAAUGGU